rfam:Acinetobacter bouvetii DSM 14964 = CIP 107468 genomic scaffold acLrD-supercont1.2, whole genome shotgun sequence.
UCGUGUCGUGAGAUGUUGGGUUAAGUCCCGCAACGAGCGCAACCCUUUUCCUUAUUUGCCAGCGGGUUAAGCCGGGAACUUUAAGGAUACUGCCAGUGACAAACUGGAGGAAGGCGGGGACGACGUCAAGUCAUCAUGGCCCUUACGACCAGGGCUACACACGUGCUACAAUGGUCGGUACAAAGGGUUGCUACCUAGCGAUAGGAUGCUAAUCUCAAAAAGCCGAUCGUAGUCCGGAUUGGAGUCUGCAACUCGACUCCAUGAAGUCGGAAUCGCUAGUAAUCGCGGAUCAGAAUGCCGCGGUGAAUACGUUCCCGGGCCUUGUACACACCGCCCGUCACACCAUGGGAAUUUGUUGCACCAGAAGUAGGUAGUCUAACCGCAAGGAGGACGCUUACCACGGUGUGGCCGAUGACUGGGGUGAAGUCGUAACAAGGUAGCCGUAGGGGAACCUGCGGCUGGAUCACCUCCUUA